UGAGCACUUGAUCAAAUAUGAAAUCUUGCAAAUUGAAGGGAAGAGAGAUAGAUUGAUAAUUUGUGAAUUAAGAAAUUAAGAUUGAGAUAAGAAUUUUGAGUGAAGAAAUGAGGAAGAGAUGAGGGUAUUUAUAGAUUUUAAGAAGGGUUAAUAUUGUAAAUUAAUAAAUACAAAAAAAAAUUAAAAAAUGGCCAUUUUUGUAAAUUAGCCGUUGGCCAACGGAAAUGUGGGCCCC
rnacentral:lncRNA from 1 species